rnacentral:lncRNA from 1 species
UCAGAGAUAAGAGUUUGAAAGUAGCAAAGGUUUUCAAAAUUUAAAUAGUAGGUUUCGAGAGGAUAUUGUUUAGCAACUUAUCAGUGAAAGCAGAAGGUUAUAUUAAGACUAAGUGACUAGAGAUAGCAGUGAGAUUUCCGAAAUACAACUAAAGACUCAGUAAGAUUCAAAGGUAUACAGCAGAUGGAAAUCGUUAUAACACAUUUUUAGAAAAUAAAGUAAGAACAUUGAAGAUAUAGUAACUUGGCUAAAUGUAGGAUAAGUAUAUUAAAUAGCAUAAUUCUGGGCAAAAAGGAUCAUCCACUGGUUUGAAAACAUAGUGGAACAAAUAUCAGUGAGAGUAAGCAGAUACACAAUUUCCAUAAUUGCUUCAAAAUAGGGCGUGAGUUUUAGUAAAAUCGAGUGAACUUUAUAGAGGCAAAACUAGAAGCAGAGUUCAGGAUAUUAAAGGAAGCUGAUGGGUCCUAAGCCAGCAAAACAUGAUUAGUCAAUUCUUAUUAGGCAUAAAGUUUGCCUAGGCGUCGUAUAUAUUGCCUACUUGUCUUAAAGGGUCAACAUGCAUAUUAAUCUCCAGUUUUAAAAAGGGUACACAUACAGUACUUGUGUUAUAAGAUUAGACAUGCUAAUAGGCAUAAUUGUAACUCAGACUAGUAGAGAACCUUAAAUAAAAGGAUGCCUAAUGCACAUAGAAGUUCCUGAAACAUGAUUUCUAAAUUCUAAUGAGAAUGAAAUACAGCAGUUGCCUUAUAGUUAUUUGCUUAUUACAAUUAUUAGCUUGUUAUUAACUGAUCAUGGUUUCAACAUAAGAAUAAGAAUAGGAUGAAUGUAAAGUACCUAGAGCAAGAUCUCUAAUGAAUGAGAUGCAAGUCUUAUGCAGGAUAUCUAUUGCACAAAUAAGUAAAUAAAAUCCUAUAAGCAUGUUUUCUACCCAUUACUUAAACUAAGCAUGCAUAACCCCGACCCAAUUUCUCUAUAACCCCCAAUAAGCCCUGUACAAGUAAUUACAAACCAUGAGAGCUGAGUUACAUAAAUAAGAACAAAAUAAGAAGUAAUUAUAUGGGGAGCCUUCAAUCAAGCCUAAUAUUCCAACCUCACUCCUUUCGAGUUUCACAACCUUUUCCAUGCUCUGGGUGCGGCAAAGCUCCCUAAGGCCCCCAUUAGGUCCCUGGCCAAUACUAGCACCAAAACACUUACCAAAAUUGUUGGACAGGUGCAGUGUGGAAUUAUCAGCCUUGUGCAUCAAAGUUCACUGAGUACUCAGAGGUACCCAAUGCAGUGCUUACACGAAGGGAUAGAACAUAAUCUCAAAUAGUAGUGCGAAGUGCAGGAAGGAGAGGAAAGUUGGUAUUUUGAUUUGGAGAGUUGCACACAAGGGUAAUGGGCAAAGGGGGACAAAUAUAUCACAUGCAAACUCACAUAAUUAAAAGAGAUUUAAGAGGUCUUGAAAUAGACAAGUUGAGGCACAAAAGUAACUAGUAACAACAUGCAGUCAUAACAAGUAAAAGUAGUCAUGAGCAUGUAAGUAUCAAUAGGUUAACCAGGAAUUAAUCACAUGUUGAAAAGCAGAAGCACAAGUAGAAAACAAUUAAGAAUAGAACAUACUGAAGUAGCAAUAACCACAUUGGUUUGGAACAUAGAAUUUAAACAGGACAUACAAGCAACAAAGAGAGCACAACAGAAUACAAGAGCCAAUUAUAAGCACGAUAUUAGCCUUAGACUUUCAACUGGCUAGAGAGAGUAAGGAGUAGGGAGCAGCAACAGCACAAUAGAGAAAAGGAAAGAAAUAGCACGAGAGAGAGAGAGAGAGCAAUGUGAUUACUCUAUGUGUAUGUGUUUGUGAUAUGCAAUUUGUUCGUGUCAGUGUCCUCUUUAUGCAAAAGAGAAUGGGGAGUACUUAAAGUACUGAAUACGAUUAAAUAAAUAAGGUGGCAGUCAGUUAAUUAAGGAACUGGCAUCAAUCACAAUUAAAUCAGUACAUGGACUUCGCUUUAAUUAAGGAAUCCAAAUCAAACGGUAAUAAUCAGUCAUUUAAAAGGAAAAAAAUUAUAGAGAAGGGUAUAAUAACAUAAGUAGCACAAAGUAUGCAAUAAAGACUAGGUACAUGACACUCUAAUUAGGGAAAUAGGUCAGGCAAAUCAAUCAACAAAUUUGUGCACAUAUAUAGGGAAAAAUACCACUAUAUUUCUGGAAAACGAGAUUGAAAACCUAGGAAAUAGGUAUUAAUCGAGGAAAGUAUCCCACAAAUUAAGGAAGCAGUUCAAACUAUAAGGAAAAUACGUAGAAUCACAAUUUUAAAGCAAGUAUCACAACCUCAAAGAGGGCUCGAAGAACCACUAUAAAAUCACCAUAUAAGCAAUCAGAAAAACUUUAAGCAAGGAAUACAUAAUGGUAGGGGAAUGAAACACUAACAACAAAAUUAAAGCAAAGAGCAUGGAACUCGGAGAAGAACUCAGAAUAACACACAAACAAUCAAAUCAUGAAAACACAAACAUACAAAGUUAGGGUUUAUCAGACUUAAGCAAAACGUUUGGAGAGAAUCACGAACUAGUACUCAAAAUUAGAAAAAAGUGAUUUCGAAAUAACGGUUCAGAAACCCUAGUUUCAAAAGAGGAACAAAAACGUUUAAAAUCGGAGUAAUCGUAAAGAUCGAGUAGAAAAUAGUGCAAAACAUAAAGGUAUGAGUCAAAAACAUUAAAAAUCAGAGGUUUGAGAGGUUUGGAUUGAGAUUAGGGUUUCAUAUGAAACCAGUGAGAGAAACAAAAGAAACCUGGCUAUGAAACUCGAGAAUAAUGGUGUUUACAAAGCCAUCGGACCAAAUCCAUCGGAGAAAGGCCAGAAACCAACUAGAACAAAGCUUCACUGACCGUCUUGUAUGGCGGAUACCCGUGGGGUCUCAAAGACAGACAGAAUCAGUAAGGUAAGGCUUCACGGCGGCUGGUGGUCGAAAGAGCUGAGGUUGGAGGUGGCCGAAGAGUCAAUGAAAGCCAUCGGAGAAGGUGAACCAGAAGGUUCUAGAGAGAAGGAGGAGAGACAG